rfam:Pongo abelii chromosome 15.
CUGGAAAGGAAGAAGCAUUCUUUCAUUGGCUGGUGUGUAUUGCCUUGUCAACCAAUAAGAGGAUGCCAUUUAUCCUUUUCUG